CAGUCGCCGCGGGAAUACGUAGGGUGCAAGCGUUAAUCGGAAUUACUGGGCGUAAAGCGUGCGCAGGCGGUUAUAUAAGUCAGAUGUGAAAUCCCCGGGCACAACCUGGGAACUGCAUUUGAGACUGUAUGGCUAGAGUGUGUCAGAGGGGGGUAGAAUUCCACGUGUAGCAGUGAAAUGCGUAGAUAUGUGGAGGAAUACCGAUGGCGAAGGCAGCCCCCUGGGAUAACACUGACGCUCAUGCACGAAAGCGUGGGGAGCAAACAGGAUUAGAUACCCCGGUAGUCCCUGUCUCUUAUAC
rnacentral:rRNA from 1 species